GACGAACGCUGGCGGCGUGCUUAACACAUGCCAGUCGAACGGAAAGGCCUCUUUCGGGGGGUACUCGAGUGGCGAACGGGUGAGUAACACGUGAGUAACCUGCCCUUGACUUUGGGAUAACUUCAGGAAACUGGGGCUAAUACCGGAUAGGAGCUCCUGCUGCAUGGUGGGGGUUGGAAAGUUUCGGCGGUUGGGGAUGGACUCGCGGCUUAUCAGCUUGUUGGUGGGGUAGUGGCUUACCAAGGCUUUGACGGGUAGCCGGCCUGAGAGGGUGACCGGCCACAUUGGGACUGAGAGACGGCCCAGACUCCUACGGGAGGCAGCAGUGGGGAAUAUUGCACAAGGGGUGGAAGCCUGAUGCAGCAACGCCGUGUGCGGGAGGACGGCCUUCGGGUUGUAAACCGCUUUCGCUCAUGACGAAGCUUUGUGUGACGGUAGUGGGUAAAGAAGCACCGGCUAACUACGUG
rnacentral:rRNA from 1 species